CCACCCUUUUUAUCAAUAAACCCAGGUCCACUCAUCAUACCAUGAGGCCCAUGGCCAUUGCCCAUCAUGGGCAUCAUUUUGUUUGGCAUACCAUGAGGCCCAUGGCCAUUGCCCAUCAUGGCCAUCAUAUUGUUUGGCAUACCAUGAGGUCCAUGACCAUUACCCAUCAUCGGCAUCAUCUUGUUUGGCAUACCAUUAGGUCCAUGACCAUUACCCAUCAUCGGCAUCAUCUUGUUUGGCAUACCAUUAGGUCCAUGGCCAUUACCCAUCAUCGGCAUCAUCUUGUUGAUUGGCAUACCAUGAGGUCCAUGACCAUUACCCAUCAUAGGCAUCAUCUUGUUAGGCAUACCAUUAGGUCCAUGGCCAUUACCCAUCAUAGGCAUCAUCUUGUUAGGCAAGCCAUGGCCAUGGCCAUGACCAAACUCUUCCUCGUCCUCAUCAAAUUCAUCAUCGAACUCAUCAUCAAAUUCAUCAUCGAACUCGUCAUCAAAUUCAUCAUCACUUGCAUCAAAAUCAUCCUCAUUCAGAUUGAAC
rnacentral:lncRNA from 1 species